AGUCCUGUGCCCGGCUUUUUCACAGUGACAUCCUCUGAGUCUUACUGUGGAGACAGUGGUGGCGAACUUGUAGGAACUUCUGAUCCCUCGGAGCACAGGCCAUGCUGAAAGCCCAGAAGAAGCUGACAGGAGACGAUGCGCCUUUCCAAUCCCCAGGCCUGCUUCUUGGGUGUGGAUCAGAUGUGACCUCUCAGCUACUGUCUGCCAACAUACUCUUCACCAUGAUUGUCAAGUUCUCACCCUCUGAAACUGUAAGCAAGCUCCCAAUUAAAUG